rnacentral:rRNA from 1 species
GAUGAACGCUGGCGGCGUGCCUAAUACAUGCAAGUCGAGCGAACAGACGAGGAGCUUGCUCCUCUGACGUUAGCGGCGGACGGGUGAGUAACACGUGGAUAACCUACCUAUAAGACUGGGAUAACUUCGGGAAACCGGAGCUAAUACCGGAUAACAUGUUGAACCGCAUGGUUCAACAGUGAAAGACGGUUUUGCUGUCACUUAUAGAUGGAUCCGCGCCGCAUUAGCUAGUUGGUAAGGUAACGGCUUACCAAGGCAACGAUGCGUAGCCGACCUGAGAGGGUGAUCGGCCACACUGGAACUGCGACACGGUCCAGACUCCUACGGGAGGCAGCAGUAGGGAAUCUUCCGCAAUGGGCGAAAGCCUGACGGAGCAACGCCGCGUGAGUGAAGAAGGUCUUCGGAUCGUAAAACUCUGUUAUUAGGGAAGAACAAAUGUGUAAGUAACUAUGCACGUCUUGACGGUACCUAAUCAGAAAGCCACGGCUAACUACGUG